AUGCAAGGUAUCUGUGGAAGCCUGAAGACGCCAGAAUUUUGUCUGCUUGUAAUGAAGGUUUCAGGUUGUAGGGUCCCUGGAUUACCAAGUCUGUUCUACUGGAAAGUAGAGGAUAGACCUGUGAGUUUGAGAAGCUUUGAAAAUACCCAGAUAAGGAGUAAGGUAACCAACUCUUUUUAUUGCGGGCUUGUUUGUCCCUAUCAAUGUGUCUCUGGAAAUAAAGUAUCAAUGACUUCUCUAUACCUACAUCGUUUCUUCAAAUACUCUUAUUUUUAAAUUUUUAGCUUUAUAUAGUCUAGACAGAAUGAUAAUGGUCAGACUGCUUUUGCCAUGUGUUAUUCAGUCUUUUAGAUGUUGUGUAAGUAUUUAGUACUUAUUACCCGCAGGUUUGGGGCUUUUAGUCAAAAUCCUAACAUGGUAGGGAACAUCCCCUCUUGUUCUGUGCAAGGUUAAGCCCUUGUGUUUUCAUAGUUCUUAGCCUCAUUGAGGAACUCUCAACAUCACUUAAGCCAGUCAAUCUGAGCCCUACUGAGGACCUGAAUUCUACCAUGAUAGAGUUGUCUGAUGAGAACUAUAGUUGGAUAAAACUGGUUAUAUGUUUGACUUGAGAUUUCUGGUACCCUCUUAGAUCUUUACAAGAUCUAAGGAUUUAGAAUAUAGUACCACAGGCCGGGCGCGGUAACUGUGCCUGUAAUCCUAGAGCCUCGAGAGGCCAAGGUGGGCAGAUGACAAGGUCUGGAGUUUGAGACCAUCCUUCCAAAUAGUGAAAUCCCAUCUGUGCUAAAAAAAAAAAAAAAAAAUUAGCUGGGUGUGGUGGUGGGUGCCUGUAAUCCCAGCUACUUGGGAGGCUGAGGUAGAGAAUCACUUGAACCCAGGAGGUGGAGGUUGCAGUAAGCCAAGAUUGCACCACUGCACUCCAGCCUGGGCAACAGUGCAAAACUCCGUCUCAAAAUAAUAAUAAUAAUAAUAAUAAUAUAGCACCAUGGCAUGUUUGGAAUCUUCAUCAAGAUUUCGAAAAGCAAAAUCACAACAAUACCCUUGGACUUUUUCCAAGGCAAUCUGUGUAUCACAUGGACUUAGUAGUAAAGUAUUAAAGAAGGUGGUAUGAUUGAGAAAAGCUCCCGGGAAGUCAGAUAAUGGCCACCAUAGCCAUUAAGGGCAAAGCCACUGGUCUCUAAUGGUUUCACAAAAUCCCCCAUCCAGAGGUUUCCCAAAAGUGAAGCCUUGCGGAGGAUUCAGCAGCUUCAAAGUAUAUUGCGCUAUAUUGUAACUACCUGAUUACCACUCAAGCAUUAUUAAACUCUAGAAAUUUUUGAGUUCUGGUGAGUUUUCUAAAUAUAGACAUCUAAGGGGUAAGAGUUUGGAGUGUCUGUCAUCUUAUCCUAAUUUUCUGAGUACUCACCUCCACUCCACAGCCAUAUUUUUGUGUGAUGCAGUUCUCUGGCCAGAAGUGAUUAGCUUGGGGUGGACAACUUGACUUCUAGGCUUGAUCUUUAUUUCAAGAAUUUGGAAUUGGCACUGAGAAUAGUUUGCCCUUGUCGUUGAAACUUGAUAUAAACUCAGGAAUUUUGCAUGGAGGGGGAAAAAAAAAACCAGAGAAGAAAAGACAGAUGCUUGCUUGUCCCCUGAGGGUUUUCUAGUCUCCAGAGCACUAAAUAGCCCAUGGCAUCCUUUUAAUGAAUUUCCCUUUUAGGUAAAGAUAGCUCAAGUUGAUGUCUCUUAUUUCAAACCAAGAUAGCUUUGAGUAAGACAAAGGACCCUCCAGUUGUUGUUGUUGUUGUUUUAAUUGUUAUUUCCAGGCUAACACUUUUGUUUCUAUUAUGAGAGGAAGGGGGAGCAGGGAUAAUGGAGAGGGGGUUGCUGCAUUGGUCAGGCUUCUGAGUUGCAGACAGUAGGCUCCAGUCGAGUCAGUCUAAGCAGAAAAGGAUAGGUUAAAGACUAUUAGAUAGUUCACAGAAUCUCUGAACAUAAACAUUCUCAGAAGCUCCAUGACCAAGAACAGGGCAACCAAGUAUAACACAUCCAGAAGAACUGACUGAGUAAACCAGGGGAUUGUUCUUAGGGGCACCUGUGAUGUUAGGGACUGGAUGGCAGAUAUGCUUCCAUAGCUACCCCAGGGAAGCCCACAUGCUGCUUUCACUGUGGUUAUUGGAAAAGCCUGUCUCACUGAGAAUUCAGCCGUUUCCUCAAGCUGGUUACUCACUUCCACCUCCACACCUCUCACUGGGGUGGGCUGGGAGUGGGUGUAGAGCUUAAGUCACAUGCAGAUCCUAAGCACAAGACAGUAUGGGAAAUACAAUUCUUUUACCUUCCAGCUUGUAGUAGACAGAAAGGCAGACUGGGAGAGGUCGGAAUGAGUGCUGAGUGAACAAAUGUGCAGUAUCUUCCUCAAUGUCCAUCACUGUAUCGUGGAGAAAGAAAAGUGGAAUUCUCCAAAUGUCUUUCAAACUAUCGGAAAAAUAUACAUCAUCAUAGCUCUGCAGGGUGAAUAGGAAGGGAAGGCACAGACUGUAGACUUAGGAAGCUCCUAUAGGUAUGCAUGGGAAUAAAGUAGUUUUGAAAUACA
rnacentral:lncRNA from 13 species